rnacentral:rRNA from 1 species
CUACGGGGUGCUGCAGUGAGGAAUAUUGCACAAUGGGGGGAACCCUGAUGCAGCAACGCCGCGUGGAGAAUGACGCAUUUCGGUGUGUAAACUCCUUUUAUAUGUCAAGAAAAUGACGGUAGCAUAUGAAUAAGCACCGGCUAACUCCGUGCCAGCAGCCGCGGUAAUACGGAGGGUGCAAGCGUUACUCGGAAUCACUGGGCGUAAGGACGCGUAGGCGGGUUGGAAAGUCAGGUGUGAAAUCCUACAGCUUAACUGUAGAACUGCACUUGAAACUUCUAAUCUAGAGUAUGGAAGGGGGAGAUGGAAUUAGUGGUGUAGGGGUAAAAUCCGUAGAUAUCACUAGGAAUACCUAAAGCGAAGGCGAUCUCCUGGAACAUUACUGACGCUAAGGCGUGAAAGCGUGGGGGGCAAACAGGAUUAGAUACCCGCGUAGUC